rnacentral:rRNA from 1 species
AUUGAACGCUGGCGGCGUGCUUAACACAUGCAAGUCGAGCGGCAGCGCGGGAGCAAUCCUGGCGGCGAGCGGCGAACGGGUGAGUAAUGCUUCGGAAUCUGCCCUUCAGUGGGGAAUAACCAGUCGAAAGACUGGCUAAUACCGCAUACGAACUGAGGUUGAAAGCAGGGGAUCGCAAGACCUUGCGCUGAUGGAUGAGCCGAAGUCGGAUUAGCUUGUUGGUGGGGUAAUGGCCUACCAAGGCGACGAUCCGUAGCUGGUCUGAGAGGACGACCAGCCACACUGGGACUGAGACACGGCCCAGACUCCUACGGGAGGCAGCAGUGGGGAAUAUUGGACAAUGGGGGGCAACCCUGAUCCAGCGACGCCGCGUGUGUGAAGAAGGCCUGCGGGUUGUAAAGCACUUUUAGUGGGGAGGAAGGUCUGCGACCUAACACGUCGUGGAAUUGACUUAACCCACAGAAAAAGCACCGGCUAACUCUGUGCCAG